rnacentral:lncRNA from 1 species
UUCCCCAAUCCUCAGGCACAUGUGCACCUUGCAAAUGGCCUUAUCAUCCUUGGCCAGAUGCUAAUUUUCCAGAUCAGUGGAAGCACCAGUUAUCUAUAUUUAUAAACUGAAUAAAUGGAUGCCCUACACAAUUCUUACUAAUACUCGUGGAGCAGGUAACCAUACAUUGAGAUCUCUGCUAAUGCUGCCACAGAAAACCAGACACCCUCAUGAUGGUCUCUGGUACCAGGCACAAAAGAAACGGCAAAAGCAAGCCACCAUAUUGCAUUAACUAUGCAAAUGUCAUGGGAGUGUGACUGAUUGGCAGAACCAAAAUUACAUUCAGAGCUAUAGCUGCAAGACUUCCUGGAAAAUAUAGAAUUCAAGCCGCUGCAAUAAAGA